AACGUAGGAGACAAACGUUAUCCGGAGUUACUGGGCGUAAAGGGCGUGUAGGUGGUUUCGUAAGUCUGGCGUGAAAUUUUUCGGCUUAACCGGGAAAGGUCGUCGGAUACUGCGGGACUAGAGGACGGUAGAGGCGUGUGGAAUUCCGGGUGUAGUGGUGAAAUGCGUAGAUAUCCGGAGGAACACCAGUGGCGAAAGCGGCCACCUGGACUGCACCUGACGCUGAAGCGCGAAAGCUAGGGGAGCGAACGGG
rnacentral:rRNA from 1 species